rnacentral:lncRNA from 1 species
AUCCAUUCUCACCCACCAUUCAAUUUCACGAACUGCCAAGAGAAAAUUUCAGAAAAACAGUUUCCCCACAAUUUGCUUUCCAACUGAAUAUAAUACAAUAUUCAUUACGUAAGGUGAGAUGCUCAGUGCUAUUAGUGAUUUUUUUCACAUCCUUUCAAAUAGGUUGUUAUAUAUGAAUUUAAUUACUUUAAUUCAGGACUCCUUCGAGAGAAAUCAUGAUACAUUUUAAGGCACAAUUUAGCCUUCACGUUAUUUUGCAGUGCUUGUUUGAAUUAUCAUUUGUCAUGGUAUGAUAAUUCUCAUGUUAUGUUGGUAAAAGAAUUUAUGCAUAAUUUCAUGUUUGAUUUGAUUGUGGAGUAGCAAGCAUCUCAUUAUAUAAUUCGUUAUACUCAUCCCUCUUUAUUUACAAAUUUUAGAUAAAAAUUAGUAUGCUGGACAACGGUGGAUGGAUGUGCUAUUGGACCAACGGAUCCACGUCAU